UCAAAUCAGGUAGGACUACCCGCUGAACUUAAGCAU
rnacentral:rRNA from 2 species